rnacentral:rRNA from 1 species
AUUGAACGCUGGCGGCAGGCCUAACACAUGCAAGUCGAGCGGAUGAGAAGAGCUUGCUCUUCGAUUCAGCGGCGGACGGGUGAGUAAUGCCUAGGAAUCUGCCUGGUAGUGGGGGACAACGUUUCGAAAGGAACGCUAAUACCGCAUACGUCCUACGGGAGAAAGCAGGGGACCUUCGGGCCUUGCGCUAUCAGAUGAGCCUAGGUCGGAUUAGCUAGUUGGUGAGGUAAUGGCUCACCAAGGCGACGAUCCGUAACUGGUCUGAGAGGAUGAGCCGUCACACUGGAACUGAGACACGGUCCAGACUCCUACGGGAGGCAGCAGUGGGGAAUAUUGGACAAUGGGCGAAAGCCUGAUCCAGCCAUGCCGCGUGUGUGAAGAAGGUCUUCGGAUUGUAAAGCACUUUAAGUUGGGAGGAAGGGCAGUAAGUUAAUACCUUGCUGUUUUGACGUUACCGACAGAAUAAGCACCGGCUAACUCUGUGCCAGCAGCCGCCGUAAGAC